rnacentral:rRNA from 1 species
UUGCUAAUUUGCUGACGAGUGGCGCACGGGUGCGUAACGCGUAUACAAUCUACCUUUUGCUGAGGGAUAGCCCAGAGAAAUUUGGAUUAACACCUCAUGGUAUUAUUGAUAGGCAUCUAUUAAUAAUUAAAGGUUACGGCAAAAGAUGAGUAUGCGUCCCAUUAGCUAGUUGGCGAGGUAACGGCUCACCAAGGCAACGAUGGGUAGGGGUCCUGAGAGGGAGAUCCCCCACACUGGUACUGAAACACGGACCAGACUCCUACGGGAGGCAGCAGUGAGGAAUAUUGGACAAUGGGCGAGAGCCUGAUCCAGCCAUGCCGCGUGCAGGAAGACUGCCCUAUGGGUUGUAAACUGCUUUUAUACAGGAAGAAUAAGCCUUACGUGUAAGGUGAUGACGGUACUGUAAGAAUAAGGACCGGCUAACUCCGUGCCAGCAGCCGCGGUAAUACGGAGGGUCCGAGCGUUAUCCGGAAUUAUUGGGUUUAAAGGGUCCGUAGGCGGAUGAUUAAGUC